UACGGGGGGGGCAAGCGUUGUUCGGAAUUACUGGGCGUAAAGGGCUCGUAGGCGGCCAACUAAGUCAGACGUGAAAUCCCUCGGCUUAACCGGGGAACUGCGUCUGAUACUGGAUGGCUAGAGGUUGGGAGAGGGAUGCGGAAUUCCAGGUGUAGCGGUGAAAUGCGCAGAUAUCAGGAGGAACACCGAUGGCGAAGGCAGCUCGCUGGGACGGUACUGACGCUGAGGCGCGAAAGCGUGGGGAGCAAACAGG
rnacentral:rRNA from 1 species